rnacentral:tRNA from 1 species
AGCCCUGUGGUGUAGUGGCCAAACAUAUCAGGCUCUGGAAUUUUCUGUUUGCAGAAAGGUCAACAAGCUUAGAGAAACCUGGUGACCUCGGUUCGAAUCCGGGCAGGGCUA